AGUGAACGCUGGCGGUAGGCCUAACACAUGCAAGUCGAACGGCAGCACAGUAAGAGCUUGCUCUUACGGGUGGCGAGUGGCGGACGGGUGAGGAAUACAUCGGAAUCUACUUUUUCGUGGGGGAUAACGUAGGGAAACUUACGCUAAUACCGCAUACGACCUACGGGUGAAAGCAGGGGAUCUUCGGACCUUGCGCGAUUGAAUGAGCCGAUGUCGGAUUAGCUAGUUGGCGGGGUAAAGGCCCACCAAGGCGACGAUCCGUAGCUGGUCUGAGAGGAUGAUCAGCCACACUGGAACUGAGACACGGUCCAAACUCCUACGGGAGGCAGCAGUGGGGAAUAUUGGACAAUGGGCGCAAGCCUGAUCCAGCCAUACCGCGUGGGUGAAGAAGGCCUUCGGGUUGUAAAGCCCUUUUGUUGGGAAAGAAAAGCAGCAGGUUAAUACCCCGCUGUUCUGACGGUACCCAAAGAAUAAGCACCGGCUAACUUCGU
rnacentral:rRNA from 1 species